rnacentral:snRNA from 1 species
AACCACUUCGGUGGUCAUCCGUAAAAAUUGGAACGAUACAGAGAAGAUUAGCAUGGCCCCUGCGCAAGGAUGACACGCAUAAAUCGAGAGUAUCGCACUUUUGCU